rnacentral:rRNA from 1 species
UACGUAGGGGGGCAAGCGUUGUCCGGAAUUACUGGGCGUAAAGAGCUCGUAGGUGGUUUGUCGCGUUGUUCGUGAAAACUCACAGCUCAACUGUGGGCGUGCGGGCGAUACGGGCAGGCUAGAGUUCGGUAGGGGAGACUGGAAUUCCUGGUGUAGCGGUGAAAUGCGCAGAUAUCAGGAGGAACACCGGUGGCGAAGGCGGGUCUCUGGGCCGAUACUGACGCUGAGGAGCGAAAGCGUGGGGAGCGAACAGG